rnacentral:tRNA from 1 species
AUUUAUCUAAUAUAACAAGUAUAUUUGACUUCCAAUCAAAAAGUUUGACUAACAAGAUAAAUA